GAAAAUUUUUAGUAUGUAUAGAGUAGUGUUUUGUUUCUCCUAAAGGCAAAGCAGCAGUGUGUGUCCAGUUGGAUAAAUCCCAGCGAUGGGCUCCCUCUUACUACGUCAGGUGGUGAGUUGUUAUAGAAAUGGUGAAGGGAGUUAAUUGUGUGUGUUUGUUUCAGCUGGGGUCCCGUAGUGUUUGGAACCAGUUGAGUAUGGUAGAGUCCAGGAGAAGUUCCUGAGGCUGAGGUAAAACGUUAGGGAUUAUUUUAAGGUGGUGUUAGUGCUUGAGUGAUGACGAUAGGCUGAAGCUAGGGCAUUGCUGAAGCAGUAUUUGCUUGGGGUUUCAGUUUAUGUGAGGGUAAGAACAUAUUAGCUAUACUCUCCGUGUUACUUUCGGCCGGUGGGGUCCCGCAGAGUGUGCGGUGGAACCAUUUGGUUGAUCUUGGAGCAGUAUUUAGCCUACCUGUGAUUUUUAAUGUCAGGGUAGGAAUGUAUUAGUUGUACUUCCCUUGUCAUCUUUGGCCAAUGGGGUCCCGCAGAGUGUGCGGUGGAACCAUUUGGUUGAUUUUAGCAGUAUUUAGCCCACCUGUGAUUUUAACAAUGGACAUGGUGUGAGUCAUACUCCCCGUGUCACGUUUUGGCGGAUGGGGUCCCACAGAAUGUGUGUGGUGGAACUGUCUGACCGAUUUUAAAGCUGUAUGUACUUGUGAUUUUUCGUAUAGGAUGUGGUGUGAGUCAAACUCCCCGCAUCAAACUGUGGCUGAUGGGGUCCCGCGGAGUGUGUGUGGCGGAGCCAUCUAGCAGAUUUUAAAGUUUACCUGUGAUCGUAAUAUGACGUGGCGCGAGCCAUACUCCCCUGCGUCGUAUCAGCCGAUGGGGUCCCACAGUGUGUGUGGUGGAACCAGUCGGUAUAUUUUAAAAGUGUAGAUGUUCUGCAAAUAAGUCGUUGUCAUGGUAGUGAGUGCUGCAGGUCGGCGCCCUACCUUAUAUUACCUUUUGGGUAAGUACGGGUUUUGACAAACCUGGCCCUUAAGGUGAUCAGUGUGUUGUGAACAUUUAUUGCGGAUGUAUGGGCGAGGUUAUGAGUCUAGCUUUUCCUGAUGUCCUGUGUAAUAUCUGAGCUCUGAUGAGGUAAUCGUCGGGGCGACGAUUCAUAAGCUGGGGGUGAAUGUGGUGGUGUGUAGCCUCACCUAUUGGUUUGUUUCUGUUAAAUCUGUGGACCAAUCGGAGCAUGUUAUGAUUUCGUGGUUGCUCAUUGGUUGGUGCUACACAAAUCUACAAACCAAUCGGAGCCGGGUUUGUAGGAUAUAAGAAUCCUAGUGGUGUAGCACCUGGAAACGUUGUCAUUUACGUCAUGCCCUGUAUGGAAGCGCUCUUUGUGAAUGAGCGGAGGGCGGCUGCGCGUCAUUCAUUACCCUUGGCUUUGCGUGUUGUGAACGAGCGGAUCGGCUUUUAGCUGGUUCCCAGAUGGCUGUAUGUUGCAGUAUUUGCAGCAGCUACAGGUGGGUUAUUUUGGCGUUGGGGAAACCUAAUGCGGUUAAAGGGAGAUUAAUUGUUUGUGUGUUUAGUUUGCUGCACAGGCAAACUGGUAAUACCUCGUUUGAUUGACCGGGCAUGACGGUUUCAUUAACCCCUCGGUAUGUAUUGUUGUUUUACUUGUUAAAAUUAUUUUCUUGUAUUAAAUUGUAUUUUUGUUUGGCAGAUAAAUGUAAGUUCCGUUUCGGAUGAGACUACAUUGCUGCUUUGCCUGGAGUUCGUUUCUCUCGUUUGUGUGUGUGGAUUCGUCUGGUGGCACAACCUCACCAUUUAUUGGACUGCUUCCAUUCAGGGGUUUGGCCUUGGAGGUGUAUAACUGAAUUCAGCUGUGCCCAUAACGUUUAUUGGCAUGCAGGAGUGGUUGCCGUUGUGACGUAUCGACCAGUGUUAGUUAUUUUUUUGUUAUUGUUUUGAGUUAUUUAAUUUAGUGUUGUAUGUAUUCACCUCUAUAAAGUGGGAGAUUGCGCCGGAACGUGUGUACACUA